rnacentral:ncRNA from 1 species
UUGGGCCCUGUGCGAUGAAAGUCGCACGCACGGUUCCUGGAGGGAUGGACCGAUGGCCCGUCCCUGCCCGACUUCGC